rnacentral:rRNA from 1 species
AUUGAACGCUGGCGGCAGGCCUAACACAUGCAAGUCGAGCGGAGCGGCGGACGGGUGAGUAAUGCCUAGGAAUCUGCCUGGUAGUGGGGGAUAACGUCAGGAAACGGGAGCUAAUACCGAAUACUAUCGGCUGAGCCUAGGGCGGAUUGGCUAGUGGGUGGGGGAAAGGCCUACCAAGGCGACGGUCCGUAACUGGGCUGAGAGGAUGAUCAGUCACACUGGAACUGAGACACGGUCCAGACUCCUACGGGAGGCAGCAGUGGGGAAUAUUGGACAAUGGGCGAAAGCCUGAUCCAGUCAUGCGGCGUGUGUGAAGAAGGUCUUCGGAUUGUAAAGCACUUUAAGUUGGGAGGCGUUACCAACAGAAUAAGCACCGGCUAACUUCGUGCCAGCAGCCGCGGUAAUAC